rnacentral:rRNA from 1 species
UUUAAAGAUAGCGUAACAGCUCACUGGUCUAAAUAAGCCGUCCUGCGCCGAAGAUGUAUCGGGGCUCAAACUAUGUACCGAAGCUGAGGAUUCACACGUAAGUGUGAGUGGUAGCGGAGCGUUCCGUAAGCCUGCGAAGGUGUACCGUGAGGUAUGCUGGAGGUAUCGGAAGUGAGAAUGCUGACAUGAGUAGCGACAAAGAGGGUGAGAGACCCUCUCGCCGAAAGUCCAAGGUUUCCUGCGCAAUGCUAAUCAGCGCAGGGUUAGUCGGCCCCUAAGGCGAGGCAGAAAUGCGUAGUCGAUGGGAAGCAGGUUAAUAUUCCUGCACCGACGUGUAAUGCGAUGGGGGGACGGAUCGUGGAAA